rnacentral:rRNA from 1 species
ACUCUACGGGAGGCAGCAGUGGGGAAUUUUGGACAAUGGGCGCAAGCUGAUCCAGCCAUGCCGCGUGUGUGAAGAAGGUCUUCGGAUUGUAAAGCACUUUCGACGGGGACGAUGAUGACGGUACCCGUAGAAGAAGCCCCGGCUAACUUCGUGCCAGCAGCCGCGGUAAUACGAAGGGGGCUAGCGUUGCUCGGAAUGACUGGGCGUAAAGGGCGCGUAGGCGGAUGGUAUAGUCAGAUGUGAAAUUCCUGGGCUCAACCUGGGGACUGCAUUUGAUACGUAUCGUCUUGAGUUCGGAAGAGGGUCGUGGAAUUCCCAGUGUAGAGGUGAAAUUCGUAGAUAUUGGGAAGAACACCGGUGGCGAAGGCGGCGACCUGGUCCGAAACUGACGCUGAGGCGCGAAAGCGUGGGGAGCAAACAGGAUUAGAUACCCUGGUAGUCCACGCUGUAAACGAUGUGUGCUGGAUGUUGGGUGACCUAGUCACUCAGUGUCGUAGCUAACGCGAUAAGCACACCGCCUGGGGAGUACGGCCGCAAGGUUGAAACUCAAAUGAAUUGACGG